AGUAGAGAUGGGGGUUUCACCAUGUUAGCCAGGAUGGUCUCGAUCUCCUGACCUUGUGAUCCACCUGCCUUGGCCUCCCAAAGUGCUGGGAUUGCAGGCGUGAGCCACCGUGCCCGGCCUGACUUUAUUCUUUACAGGAACAGUCAGUGCCCAUCACUCCCUGUCAAAAGCCAAAUAAGCUGCUCUCUCUAGAGGAGUGGCAGUAGUCCUGUGUGGUCCAGUGAGAUCCAGAAGGUUCCAGGAGACCUUCAGUCCUGAGUCCCUUUCAGUCAUCAUCGUCUGAGUCUUGAUUCUUCUGCUGAGUUGGAUGAGCUCUCUGGCAGGUCGUCUCCCAUCUGCUGGACCCUUCCUGACUGUACAUCCCACAUGUAUUUGAUGGUCACCUUAAAUUCAGCCAUCUCAUACCCAGAAAGCAUCAGAACACCAGCCUGCUCCGGGGCCAGCAGGUGGCCCUCCUUGCACACCUCAUUGUCGGACAGCAGGGUCACCACACCUCUCUCAAAGGUGGUGGGCAGGCCCGGCUGCCUCAGCUGUGGCUUCAUGGGGUGGGGAACUGCUCCAGGGGCCCUGGGUCCAGGCUCACGGUGAAAGCUGCUUUGUUACAGCUCAGCUGAAGUCCAUUUCCGUGUAUUCUGUGAACCACUCAUUCACCUCCUCCUUCCAGUGGUUGGUGAACAGGAGAUCCGCUUCACCCCUCAACCUUUUGCUGACCUGGUGCAGGUUGUCUUUGCACUCACCCAAUGGGCUCCGACCCAAGGCCACCAUCAUCACCUUGUUUUUGCCAAAGAACAUCCGGCUGUGCUUCCAGGCAUUCCGGAUGUCCUUCAGCUUGCUGUUCCACGUGUUGGCCACAGAGAGAUGGAAAGGUACUUAUCAGUGUCCACACGUUUCCGAAGCUCUUCUAUCAGGUGUUGUUUCAAUUCCAGGCCUUUCUUGGCAGUUUUGGUUAGGGACUUCCUUGUCAUGCUUGGAUUUGGGCAUUGUUCUGAAGCCACGUGUGGUGGAAGA
rnacentral:lncRNA from 10 species